rnacentral:lncRNA from 1 species
GCAGCCGAAACCUGUGGCUCUGCAAAACAGGAGUAACAACUGGGCGUGAGAACUACUGUAAAAACAAGUAGUCCUCAGUGGGUACCGCCCAAAACAACAUCGGUCACCCACUAAGUCUACAGAAGGGAGCAAGGAUAGUAGGAAAAGCAGGAAGUACACUCUACCGCUAUCAAUCACUACACUAUCAUGCUCUACACUAACCAACUGUAGGAAAUGUCAAAUCUGACCCAAUCCAAUCGGGACUGUAGACAUACCCGUCCCUGGGACUGUGAACACACCCGUCCCUGCCCCGUUGCGACUAUCGGGCUCUAUCCACACUAACUGGUCCGUGGAGAGCAAGUCCAACUGGCAUGAGCGACACCAACGCAAAAGCACAAGCCUGACUCCGGAGUGGCACUCGUGGGCGCUACCCAACCGAGUAUGCAGCGUAUCUCUGUCGAGCUCAAUCAGGCUCCAACUAGCCAAAGUCAAGUAAUCGACUCAAACUGGUCUAACAACCAACAGGUAACGUGCCCUCGGCACAAUCUGACGCCAAAAAGGCGAUACGGGUCCACCGUCAACUCUGACGGCACCCAACAGUCCGAACGACCUGAACGACCCUGCAAAAAUCCACUCGGCGAACCAGCACGAGUGUAAAUACAUUCUAAACUACCCAAGGUAUCCAUUGCACUGACUCGGCAACGAUACAAUCGAACACGGCUCCUAGAGCUAAAUCUGGUAGUUUAAGCAUAUGACGGGUCAAAACGCAGGUUUUCUCCUAAGUCAAAUUUCAAGUCCAACAUGUAUAAUCUAAAUAUUCAUUUCAGCAUGCUUCUACAUUCAUAUUACAUUCAAAAAUGCUAAUCGAUGAAUUAAAGCAUGAUUUACAACAAUCGAACUAUACACGUUGACUAACAUGCACUUAGGAGCGAAACCGAUGAUACACCCACCUCUAGUGCAAUUCCUGGCAGCAAGAGGGUCUCGGAUCCUCAAGCAACACUGCUGGAAACCUCUCCAAACCAGCACAAAGCCCCUUAAGAUCUGGAUUUACAAUGCACCCAAAAAUCCAAUAAAAAUCAUCAAAAUCAACAAUUCAGUCCAAAUACACAGCAGCAGAGAAGAGAAGGGUUUCGACCAAGCUAACCUUCACCAAAAUCCACAAGUAAGGACUUCGUGGAUUCCUCUCGCAGUCCCGAAACCAACGAAUCAAGUCUCGACGAAAUCCGAUGCUCCUACGUCGAGCACGAGCUGAAAUACUAACAGUCGACGAUGAAAUUCAGCAAAACAGCACUUAACCUUAAAUAUCCCAAUCUCAAUGUCAAAACUCACCUAAUGAACUCCAAAUCAGGUGAAGAAGGUCCCAAUUCCAGUACUGGGUGAUGGGGAACGUGACUCAAUUCCACAAAGCCCCUGCUUUCAAAGUUCACCCCAAAAAGAACUCAAAAACUUACAAUUCUGUCCACAGCAACAGCAGCAGAGGAAAACCUGAGUUCGACUGAGCUAACCUUCACCAAAUUCUGUGAAUCAUGGCUUCGUGGAUUCCUCUGGAAGUCUAGAAUCCAGCAAACCAAGUUUCGUCGAAAUCCGACCUUCCUACGUCGCGCACGAGCCAAAACACUGGAGGUCGACGCUGAAGAACUGCAGAAUCAGCACACCAUCAAGCUGGAUCAAUGGAACUUUGAUGCAAUUUGAAGCAAAUCCGAGGUUUGGGAUGCUAAGGGGGGUUUCUCUGUGAAGGAGGGAAGAAAAGAGCAGCAAAGGGACGCUCCUUAGCUAUUUAUAGGGUGAGAAAUAGGAUCAAACAAACCUCAAGAACAAAGCUUGCUAUCUGCUGUCCCUGCAGAAGCGGGCAUUUCCGGGCGCCCGGAACCAUGUUCUGGGCGACCAGAACAUCUCGACAGCACAAACCGGGCCCUUGGGACUCUCCGCCCGCGGUGUGCUGUGCCCGUAAACGGCUCCGGCGGAACUCACCUACCACCCUGCCACGCGUCGAAGCAAGCGAUAUUCACGAGGUGGAAUUUCCGGACCCACAUCUGGGCGCCCGGAACAUGGGAUCCGAAUUGGCUUCCAGUUUCAGUUAAAUUCAACACUCGUUUCUGGGCGACCCUAACAAUGUUCUGGGCGCCCGAAUCUGGCAAAACUCCAGUUUUGCUUNACUCUCCCAAUAACAUCACAAGGACUCGAAACCUAUCCUAACCGAAGUCAUAAUAUCUGACCAGCUGUAGAGACCUCUCACAGCCUGACUCAGUCUCAGUUAAGACGUGCUUAACCUACGUCUUAGUCAGUUAUUGUUCUUACACGAUCGGCCACUAUCUCCUCAUAUUCCGGACCACUUCUAGCCGAUCGGAACCGCAUGUAACUGCUUGCGGUUACCGUAACUUCCUUCAAUUGGCGCGAUAUAUUUUUUCGGUGCUCUCGAUACACGACCGAAUAGAUGCUUUUGAAGGGAAUAUUCGCACCUAAAUCUCAUCCGCGCCUAAUUGGCUCAACAAUUGCCCCCUCGGCAGCUUUCGAAGUAAGACUUCGAUAGCUGGCGUGAUCUGAGACACGAUUACUUUUCAACUUCCCAAUAUGGUUUCAUCUCAGCCGUCCCUUUUUUCGCUGCCGAAAUCCUGUAAUUGCUUCGAUAACAAGCGCGAUCCGAGGCAUCGUUCUCGGUCCAAUCGCAUUCAAAAUCUCUGUACCAGUACCAGGCGUAAUUCGAGGCGUGACCCUCUGUAUGGUUCAAUCUUAGCCGUUUAUUUUCUUUCUUACGGCCCGAUCUCAAUUCUCAUUUUUGUCUCAUCUGCGGCAUUAACUAGGUUAUCUUAACUACCGCCAUCUAUUCAUUAUUAAAGCCGACCUCGAAACUCGCUUCGACGCGACGGUUCGAUAUGACAGCCUUUCUUCUUCUCCAAUCUUUCAUUCUUUUUGUCUCUUCUAUUUCUUCUUCAUCUUCCAUGAAACUUUUCUUUCGCUUCCCUUUCUUUCAUCUUCUCUAAUUCCUUUUAUUUUCCACUUGGCCCCCCCCCCUCCCCCCUCCCUUUUUCUUUUGACUAAUGGCAUUGGUUCCGCCUCUUCCUUCUCAUCCAUCCUUGGAUUAUACUAUACUUAAACCCUUCGUCGACUCAGACCCCUCUAGAUUUAUUUUGGGUCAUUCUCCUACAGAAAUGCCAUCCCCUAUCGACUCGCCCUUUUCUAGCGACGGUCUUCCCCUGAGAAAAGCUAUUCAUCUUCAAUCUUGGUACUCUUCUGCUUCAACAGGGAAGAGUCUUCGAACCUGGCCAAGUACUUCAGAGACGUAUUUAACCUGGUUAGAUCGAGUAGAAGCCGCCUUUGGUGACUUUUGGCGAGAGGUUGGGAUAUAUGAAGCUAUUCAAUUGUCUCGGCAUCCCCCUAUUGCUGAUAAUCUUCUUCUAGCCGCCGCUCUGUGUUUUUGGUCCCCUGCUUCUAAUAUUUUUCUUUUCAAAAGAGGACCUCUUACCCCCACUCUUUUUGACGUAGCCGCCAUUACUGGCUUGCGUCCUCAUGGCGUUACUGUUUCUAUGUCUUAUAAUCUUGACGGCGUAUCUGAUUUUGAGGACCGUUUAACCUCAAUGACUUGGCUUAUUCCAAGUUCAUCCGCAAAUUCGCAGGUGAAUCCCCUGCUCUCGUUACUAAGAACGAACAUACGGCAUUCCUCCUUUAUUGGUUAUGUCAUAAUUUCUUCUGUACUCGCUCACAGAAGAUCAAUCGUGACUUUGUUCCAAUCGCCGUUGGUUUGUCUAACGACGAUAGUUAGCUCUAGGGCCUUAUUUUUUUGCCUUUGUCUAUAGUGAAAUUUUUGAUUCUAUCAAAAUACUGCCUUCUGGAGAUGGUAUUGCCAUCAGUUCUGGCUGCGGUGUUUUCUGGUUUCUUCAAAUGUUUUUACAAUUCUAUAUUCCUGCUUUAUAUCAAUCUCCUUUUAAUCCGACUUCGGUUGCCCAAUUUGAUUCUUACGGGUUAGCUCUCGGCUGUCCACAGCCGAUGACUCCGGGUCAACCUUCUGACUUUCUUACUUAUUUUAAAACUUUUUAUGAGCCGAGUCCUGAAUCGGCUAUUUCUUGGGCUCCUUUUGCUGACCGUCUUACCGGUCCUUCCUGGUUCCUUGCCUGGUUUGAAGCUAUCCAAGGUGAAUUGGCCUCUUCCCGCGCUAGUGACUACUCAGAGGUCUGGUACUCUUAUUUGGCUCCAAGAGAUCUUCAUGUGGGAUUAAAAUUGCGCUCAAAACUAUUACCAAGCACUGAAGUUUAUUCCCCUCAGUAUGUGGCCCGUCAGUUUGGAUUUGUUCAGCCGAUUCCCGCCCCAUCUAAAUUUUUUACAACUAAUACAGCCGAUCAUCGACCCCCUACUAAAGGUAUAGCCGAAGCUGAUAAGAUUUCGGCUAUGGAAAAUCGUCUUCGUCGAUUCUUUAAAUUAGUGAGCUUCAGGCCGAACUAUACGGGAGUUGCUCUUGCUGGCUAUGCUACCAUUUGGGAUCAUUUUACUGACCGUACUCUCGACCUUUCUCUUCUUCGGGCAUUCCGCAGAACUAUUCAUCCACUUGUUUCAGUUGAUCCUCCUGUCUCAUCAUCAAGAAAAGAAAUAGAAGGAGCUUCUGAGGUCAGGCCUUCUUCUCCUGUAAUGUACUCACCUUUAUUUUAACUUUCUUUUCAAUAUUUAUUUUCUUUUUCUACAGUCAAUUCUAGUUUCUUCAUCAGUCUCAGCUUCAGAAAAAAGACCGAUUGAAACCGCUCAAUCUACUCCUCCGCCGCCUCCAAAGCGGCGUAAGUCAAUUGCUAAAAGGUCCUAUUCUUCACAUGCCGAAGGUAUUGUUUCGGCUGAUGUAAUUGAUGUAUAAGAGAAAAAAGCUGAAGAAAUGCCUUCGGUUCCUGUUUCCAAAGAAACGCCUUCGGUUGAUGUUUCCAAACGAGACUCGGUUCUCAAUGAGCCCAUUGAGAUUGAGGUAUGUAUAUUUGAUUAGCCACUUUAACUCGUAUUAUUUUAUCAACUAGUUUAUCAUUCUUUUAAUUAAACAGUCCUCUCCUGAAAAUAAUUCAAGAGCUCGUUUUCUUCUUUGAAGGUGCAAAUAGAUAGACAGCUUCGCCAGGAAGCUCGUCUUGAAAAGAAACGAGGUAUGGAAAAAAAAAAAUCCGUUGCAGGGCAAGCACGAUGCCAUCACCAGGUGAAACUAUAUAACCUCUUUCUGCCCAAACCCCAAUUACAAGGGAUGACAGAUCAAAUGUACCUGUUGAGCAAGGUUCUGGAGAAGCGCAAGGCUCUGGAGAAGCAAGCACCAUACCUCCUCCUCCAACUCAUGGGACUUCUCCUUCUGCUCCUGAGGAUUCUUUAACUGCUACUCUUCAUUCUUUAUUGGUUUCAAGUCCCAGUUCCAAUGAGGGGGAUGAUUCUUUGACCAUUAUCAUCUCAUCGGACACUUAACGUAAAUUUGAUGAAUGUCUUAAAAUAUAUAGCAGUGGUCCCUCCUGUUUAGCUCAAAAUUCGGAGUUACUUGAUCAGCUGUACGCUCUCUUACUCGAUUUGACAGAUCAAGCAGAUAUUACUUCUAAUAUUAAAUGUUUUGUAGAGACUCUGUCGUCUCAACUUUCUUCUUUUUUAGCUCGGCAACAAUCUUUAGGUGCCGCUCUUUUAGCUUUAGAUCAACAUUUUCAUCGCGUUGAUCACUUUAAGAGGAAUAUCCCUGAAGUAGCUGCCCUUAUUAUUGAAGUAAAUCAUGAAGAUCAGGCUUUGGCCAAUCAAGAGUCGGCUUUACAACAGCGGAUUUCAACCCUUAAAGAAGAGUUAGCAGCAGCCGAAUCAACUCUAGCCCAAACCUCUGAACGCCGGCUUCAAUUGCAGAAUCAAUUAAAGGCUAAAAGAGCGGAAGGGAUGAAAAUUCAGGAAGAGCUUUCUCAACUCUACAAGGUGCAUUCCUUGAUGAAAUGCCGAAAAAAAGCUGCCGAAGCUGCCCAAGCCAAUCUUAUAGCCGAAUGGAACCAACUCAAAGAUUUAUUAACUUGAUUCGGCUUGUAAUGUUCUAACUUUGACCUUGGUUUUGCUCCCACAUGGAUGGGUAAUAUUUCCUCAAAUACUCUCAAUUAAUAGGUUUAUCAUUUUCUAAACCAUCUUUGUUCUGCAAGUAAUAUGCAUUUCCUUUUAUGACUCGGCUGACUUGAAAUGGUCCUUCCUAAUUUGGAGACCAUUUUUCAUAUGUUCGGUCUUUUUGACCGAUUGGAAAAACCAGCCGAAGUACUAAAUCACCAACGACAAAUAUCUUUGAUUGAACUCUCUUAUUGUAUGCACUACGCACUCGGCUUUGGUAUGCUUGCAUAUUACCUAAAGCUAUCAACCGAGUAUCAUAUACUUCCUCUGCUUUGUCCUUCAUUAAAUUACUGUAUUCAUCAGCCGACAAAUCCUUUUGCUUUUCUGUCCUCAAAGAAAGAACUGUUAUUUCGGCUGGAAUUACGGCCUCAUGUCCGUAAAUACUUCGAAAAAUUUUUCAUUCUAUUUUCUCGGAUGCUUUUCGAUGUGUCGUUUCAUAAGGUUGAUGUGUAACAUACCAGAUUUUAGUGUAAAAAUAAAAAUAAAUAAAAAUAUGUGAGAAACUAUUUUUAUUGGAUUUAGAGAAGUAAAAUAUAAGUCAGAAAUAAUUUGUGCUGAAAUCGGAAUGAAAACAGAAGAUUUAGAAUUUUCUGUUGGAAACGGGACAGAUAAAUUAGCAGAAAAAUGCAUAGUCUCAGAAAAUUAUGAAAAUUGGAGAAUAAGUCAGAAAUAUUUUUAUGAGACUAGAUUUCAUAUUUUUCUGACACCCGUAGAGUGAGAAAUAAAAUCCGACAGCUAUCUGAUAAAGAUUACAGUUCGGUACAGUUUUCAGUGACCAAACGAGAUCGAAACUGAAAACUUAAGAUAUAUUCUUACUCAGUACGUUAAACCGAGCCUGCCUGUCAAAUUUGAUCCCAAACGGAUAUUCAGAAGGGCUCCAACUGUUCUGAAUUGCUAAACUGUCCUGAAGUGAAUAGUGUUUUGGGGUGUAAUGUAUAAAGAAUUUUGCUUCUUCUCCUUCAGCCGACCACCAUACACGCCACCACCAACCCGCAUACAUGGUGGGGAGAGAGAAAGCUCCCUUUUUCUCUCUAGAUUUCUCUCUUAUCUCUCUAUAUCUCUCGCUCAAAUUCACAGCGUUGGCGGAGAAGAUGCUUGCGAACGCGUUGGGAGCGACGGAUCGAGCUUUCGUGCGCCCGUUGGAGCGGCGUAUUUUCGUCGCGGCGUUCACGUUUUGGUAAGAGUUUGGAAUUUUGUUUAAAUCCUUCAUGAAUGAUGUUCUAGUAGUAUCUAGAGUGUUCUAAACAUGUUAUCUCCAUUUAAUUUGGAUUAAUUGGAAGUUAAUUGCAUGUUAGUGCUCCGAAUGGGAUUUUGUAAAAUAUAAGGGUUUGAUCUAAUUUGACCCUCCGUAAAUCUAAUUGCUAGGUAAAUGAACACGUUGGCGAAGUCGGUUCGGCGAUUCGUCGAGCCGUUGCGAAGUUAUUAAAGAAACGGACGUUUAGGCUUCGUUUCCACCUGGAGGGCCGAGGCGACAUCGUAUACUCAUGAAAACGGAUUUGAAGUAUCGUGGCACAUAACCGAAAACCUUUAAUUUUCGGAUCGUGAAUUGGAGGCCGUUCGGGUGGUCGCGCGAGAGAUCGGGCCAAACCGGGUGCCGAGUGCCGCGGGAGGCCGAUUGCAAGUGUCGGCAAGCAAUCGGAAUGAGAAAUGAGGUGGGUUGUGCUCACCGAAGCGACUAAGUCGCCUAUAUGUCUAAGAGUAAUGGUUUUCUAAUUGAUGCAUAUAGUUGAUGUUACUUACUGUUGAGAUAAAAUGCAUAAUGACAUAUAAUGUGUUAAAUGCUAGAUGAAUGUAUGAGUUAAUUGUCACAUGAAUGCAUGAAAAUAAUGUUAUAGUAAUAUGUUAGAGGUAAUAUGCAUGUUGAUAAAUUAUGGAACAUGUUGGAUGGUAUAGGAAUGGUUGGUAUAUAUAUGUAGACAUAUUGUGGAAUAUGAUGAAUGAGUGCAUGUUGAUUUAUUGUAGAAUAUACUAGAUGAAUGCAUAUUGACAUAUUGUGGAUUAUGUUAAAUGACACAUGCAUGUUGAACUUGGGUCGAUAAACUCUAGGUGAAUUAGAGAACUCGAUAUUGGAAAACAAUGACAUAUGAACUAUGAUAUGUGACGUGGACAAUCUAUAUAUAUUAGAUCGAGUGCCAUAUGAUUAGUAUAGUGGAAACACUUAUGGCAUGUUGAACACUUAGAAAAUAAGUGUGGCAUAAGUCCAAGAAUAUAGUAGUGUAUAUGACACAAGUGAUAGUAAAGAAUGCAAAGAAAAGAAUGAUGGAAAUAUUAUGACAUUUCAACCCUAGAGUUAGGGUCAUUUGAGUAUAGUCUUCCUAAAGUUAAGGAAUGUAUUGAACUUGACAUCCUCAAGAUUUUGGAUUUGAUCAUUGAUCAUACUCACCUUUAGUCCUUGCUCGAGGUUGUGGUAGCUCCCCCUCGGGCGAUGUGCUCCGGAGUCGACAUCACUGGGUUGUAGCGGGUGUCUCCCCAGAGGACGGUCCCACCGGGUUGUAGCGGGUAUCUUCCCGGUUAAUGAGAUUUUGGGUUGGUGAGUUUGUUGAGGGCGAAACCUUCGGGUUAGCCAAGAGAUUGGGUAACAAGCACAUGAGCUGUAGCAAUAUCCUAGUUGAGUGGACUUAAGGCUGAGGUGCAAGUGAGACGUCCUUCGCCUCGAGCCUGGCUUUACGCGGUACUCCGCGAAUGAUUGACUCGAGACCGAGUCGGGUGGAUAGUUGAUAAAGAUAAAUGAGGCCAUAUGAUCAUGAUAUGAAUUUAAAAUAGUGGAAUAACUUCGAAGUCAAUUGAAUGAGCUUUGAAUAGCAGGAUUAAAGUAGUAUCGAUUGAACUACUAAUUGGUUGCAUAAAUCGCAUGAUUUUCAUAUUGCAUGGUUGUGAGGCAUGACAUGUAUUUCAAUUAUCGCAUACAUAUAUAUAUAUAUAUAUAUAUAUAUAUAUAUAUAUANAUAUAUAUCUGUUGGAUAUUUGUUGGACUAACAUGUUGCAGUGCCUCCUUAGACCUGUGGGUCGAGCUCUUCCCUUGGGUGGCCGCACCUACUGGAAACUAUAUUUAUAUAGUUCUCACCCCCGUGUUGUUUUUGGGGGUACAGGUUCCCACGUGAGCGGCGCGGCGGCGCGAGGCGAGGGCGUAGCUCCAUAGUUAGCGCCCUACCACCGAGACCAGAGAUAGCGGUACCCUGAGUCGGCUUUGCUUAGGGAUGUAAAGAAUAAAAAGAAUCAAUUUGCAAUAAUCAUGUUAAAUCGGAUUGUAUUUGGAAGUUAAGUGAAAGCUAGUGUAAGAAUCAAAUGAGAAUUGUGAUGUAAAAAUAUAUGAAUGUGAAUGCAUGUAAUAACAUAGGAUGUGUUAUGUUGUUUGAUACCUUCCAUUAUACAAUCUUUAAUUGAAAUGUGUUCCUGGUUGGAACUUUGUACAUUGUAUUGAUUGCGACGCCUUGAAUGUACAGGGGAGACUCUGUCCGCGGUACAAGGGAAAUCCUGUCCGUUCGGCAGUCUGUCGGCGGCGCCGCGACCCGGCCAAAUAGGCGGGCGGUCGCGGGGCGUGACAUGAUGACUAUUUUAUUCGCUGCUUCUAUUUGUCCAUUCACUUGGGCAUAAUAAGGAGACGAAUGGAGCAACUUUAUCUUUUGAGAUUCGAUGAACCGAACGAACUGUCCUCCUGUGAACAUUGCCCCUUGAUUGGUCGUAGUUGUCUCGGGAAUCCCAAAGCGAUGAAUUAUAUGAUCUUCAACAAAAUCAAUAAUUUCUUUUUGGGUAACCAACCGAGUGGGUUUUGCUUCUACCCACUUGGUGAAAUAAUCGACAGCCACUAUUAAAAAUUUGUGACCAGCCGAUGAGUUCGGCUGAAUUUCUCCAAUUAAAUCCAUGGCCCAACCUCGAAAAGGCCAUAGUUUGAUGAUUGCAUAUAUCUCAGAGGCCGGAACUCUCUGGAUUAGGCCAUGAAAUUGACAAUCCUAACAACGUUUGGCAUAUUCUAUGCAAUCUUGAUGCAUUGUUGGCCAAUAAUAUCCUAAGUGCCGAAUUGUCCAUCUUAACUUUUUUCCGGCUAAAUGGGUUCACAUAUUCCUUCAUGUGUUUCUCCCAUUAUCAACAGAGCUUCUUCAGGUCCUAAACACUUUAAUAGAACCUCUUCGGUUGUUCUCUUGUAAAGUUGACCAUCUAAUAAAUAGUAGCCGAGAGCUCUUCUUCGAAUAUUAUAGUCGACCCUUAUAUUAGGAUCCUCCAGAUAUUUGAUUAAUAAUUCUCUCCAAUCUUUCUUUACUUCUAUGGGAGCUAUAAUCGGUUCUCGUAUGUGAACCGAAGGUAGCAACCUCCUCUGUAUUACUAUUGAUUCUGACUUCGGCUCUUUAUAUCCUGAAGCCGACUGAGCUAGUUCAUUAGCCUUUUCAUUUUUUCUGUCUGCUCAAAUGUUUGAAUUCAGUCUCUCAGAAUUCACAUAGUAACUUUAAUUCUUCCUUAAAUAGUUUUGUAAAUUCAGGUUUUCACAUCGGUAUUCCCCAUUCAUUUGUUUGAUUACUAACUGUGAGUCACCGAUGACUUUGAUUGACUUUGCUUUCAAUUCUUGUAAAAUUUCUAGGCCAAUUAUUAAGGUCUUAAUUCGGCUUGAUUGUUAGAGCAGCCGAAAUCUAGCUCGAAAGCAAAUUGGCAUGAAUACCUUUCAGGAGAUUGGAUACCUAUUCCAGCUCCUGCUGAUUCGGCUGUUCUUGAGCCGUCAAAAUAAAGUGUCCAAGGCUGACAACCGACUAAAUUUUGCUUCGGCUUUUCAAAUUCCACACAUAGAUGAUCAGCCAAGAAGUCAGCUAUCGCUUGUCCUUUGACAGCUUUAGCUGGAAUAUAAUUAAAGGAGAAUUCAGACAAAGCCAACAUCCAUUUUCCAUGUCGGCCCCUUAACACAAGUUUGGCAAACAUAUACUUUACCAUGUUGGUUUUGCAUAUUACCGACACCUCAGUCUGUAAAAUAUAGUAUCUUAGCUUUGUGCAUGAAUAAUAAAAAGCCAAACAUAAUUUUUCAAUAGCCGAAUACUGUUUCUCAGUAUCUAAAAAACGUCGGCUUAGAUAAUAAAUGACUUGUUCUUCUUUUUCUUCAUUUUCCUGGGCUAGCAAACAUCCCAAAUUCUCCUCUGCAGCCGAUAUGUACAACUUCAUCGGCUGAUUUGGCUUUGGAGGCACCAGUACCGGAGGAUUUGAUAAAUAUCUUUUUAUAUUUUCAAACGCUUCUUGUUGUUUCUCCGUCCAAAUGAAUUCUUCUUUGUCUUUAAGCCGAAGUAAUGGAGUAAAAAUCCCAAUUUUUUCGGCCAAGUUGGAUAUGAACCGCCGAAGAUAAUUAAUCUUCCCCAACAAACUUUGUAAUUCUUUUUUGCUUUUUGGCAGCGGUAAUUCUAAUAUUGCUUUCGCCUUGUUUUUAUUAAUUUCGAUUCCUUUUUUAUGCACUAAAAAUCCUAAGAAGUUUUCCGCUGAAACUCCAAAAGCACAUUUCAAAGGGUUCGUUUUCAAAUUAUAUUUUCUCAUUCUUUCAAAGGCGAGCUUUAAAUCAAUCCAAUGUUCAGCUUGCGACUUUGAUUUUACGACUAUAUCGUCAAUGUAUACUUCCAACAUUUUGCCUAUUAAAUCAUGGAAAAUAAAAUUCAUUGCUCUCUGUUAAGUAGCUCCGGCAUUUUUUAAGCCGAACGGCAUAACAACCCAUUCAAAGGUUCCAAUCGAACCAGGGCACCUAAAAGCCGUUUUAGCCACAUCAUCCUUAGCAAUAUAAAUUUGAUUAUAACCAGUAUGUCCGUCCAUAAAGGAUAGGACCUCAUUACCGGAAGCCGAAUCUACUAACAUAUCGGCUAUUGGCAUGGGGUACUCAUCUUUUGGUGUGGCUAAAUUUAAGUUCCUGAAAUCAAUACAAACUCUAAGUUUACCAUUUUUUUUUCGUACUGAAACUAUGUUAGACACCCAAUCAACAUAACGGGCCGCUCUAAUAAAUUCGGCAUUUAAAAGAUUUUCUAUUUCAUUUUUAAUUUAGAGUACAAUACUCGGCUCAAACCUACGAGCCGGUUGUUUAAAAGGCUUAAACCCUUUUUUAAUGGGUUUCUCGACCUAACCCAGGAAUUUCUUCAUAACUCCAGGCGAAGCAGUCCUUGUACUCCUUCAAUAGUUCUUUCAACUCCUUUUGCUGUCGAGCCGAAAGCUUUGUGCUUAUAUACAUCGGUCUCUUAUCUUCGUCGGGUCCCAAAUUCACUUCGAUCAGCGGGUCUUGGGUCUCCAGCUUUUUCUCACCGAUUUUGAUAGGCGAUUCUUCUAGAUCCAAUUCUUUUGCUUGCCUAUUCAUUUCAUAUGACUUGUCGGUCUCGGUGACCGACCUCAUUUGAUUUUCUUUUUUCGGCCCUAUAAACCGAAUCUAUUAUGCCUUCUUCGGCUUUUAUAGCCGAAUCAUCAAUCGUUAACACAUGGGCUGUGACAGCCGAAUCUUCCUUACAGCCGAUCUUGUUGAUUGGCUUAUCCUGUCGAGGCUCUUGGCAAGCCUCUAUUCUCAAUUUUUUGGACUCCAUUUUAAUCAUUUUGGCGGCUCAUCGGCUGCCACCAAAGCCCCUUUUUCUCUAGUAAAGAUCAACUGGACUCCUUCUUCUGUAACUCUUACGAAGGAAAUUUGAUCCGGAUCCGCAUCGGCCCAAUUGAUAUGGCUGAUUUCCUCAGUGUUGAUGUCCACCAUUUGGGGCCGUCAUUCGGCCCGGAUUUCAUCGACUUUAUCUCCGAUCCACUGGAAUAGUUUCCCAUGGAGUGUAGAAGGCACGCACUCGUUUGCAUGAAUCCAAUCAUGCCCGAGUAGUAGGUUAUACUGACUAUCUGCAUCGACCACAAAGAAUGCAGUUCGUAAAGUUUUAGAACCUACCGUGAUCUCGGUCGUAAGCACCCCUCGAGCUUGCUGACCGUUCCCAGUGAAGUCGGUCAUGAUCGUAUCCAUGGGUUUCAACUCAUCUUCAUCUUUGCCCAACUUCUUAAAGAAUGUAGUGGGCAUGACAUUGACAAUCGCUCCGCCGUCUACCAUAACUCGGCCUACUGGCCGACCUUCAAUUAAGGCCCGAAUAAAAAGAGGCCUUACGAAUCUUGUCUGCAUUGCCGAUGGCUUCUCGAAAACCACCAUAUCGGCCGGUUUGGCAUCUUCCAAUUGCAACUGGGCUACUUUAAGCCCAUCUUCCUCAUCCUCUCUGAACUCUUCAUACUUGAUAAGCUCUGCCUUAAAAGAUUGAGGUAGAGCAUAUACCAUAUUCACCUCAGCCGGUGACUCUUCGGCUGACUUUCCUUUAAUUCUUUGUUUCUUUUCUUCCGACUCCUUAGCCGUCUCGGCUGAAGAGUAACUCUCCAUCCGGACCUCCCUUUCCUUGCGCGGCCAUCUCUCUCUCUUGAUCAUCGUUUCGAGGGAAGCUAUUUUGUCUUCUAACUCCCUCCUUCUCAUUUUUUCUUCUGACUCGGCCUCGGUUAGCCGUUCUAUCCUUGACUUCAUCCGAGGGGCAGGCGAUGAGCCGCCUGCCUCGUAGUCGUUUCUUAUUAGGCGAAAAGGGUGUGACUGCUCAUCAGGGCGCCUCCAUACAUUAAGCCUUAUCCCUUUCGCUUCUUCGUAGUGUUGUCAUGCCUCGGCUUGCAUCCUCUGCUGCUGACGCUUUUGAGUUUUCGUUAACAUCGGCCCCUGCCACCUAGCCGAUGGUUUAACCUCAACUUCGUGCCACUCAUCCACUGGCAUGUUCGCCGGUACCUUUACUGUUCUCAAAUGAUUCUUCAAAAUUUUCCUUCUCUCCCAAGGUCUCGGCCAAGGCUAAAUGCCAAGCUCGUUGACUAAUCUCCGACCGAGGAAUUCUAUAUCUCCCUCGGUCAUUCCUUCGAAUUCCGGCUCGGGUUUCGGCCUCGUUUGAUGCUGCCAAUGCGGCCGAUAUCCAGGAAUCCUUGGCUUGGUGCCGAAAGGUCUACCCUGGUAGUCCCAUCGGCUUUGAUGCUCGCCACACCUGUUGUUGUAAUAAUCGUGCAGAAUCUUCUGCAUCAACAUGUCUUGUUUGCGUUGAACCGAUUUGACUUCCGGUUCAAUGUCAUUGGAGGCCUCGUGAGAGCCUUCUUCUUCUUGGUCUUCACCAUCAGGAAUGUCAUCCCAUUCCUCGGAAAAUGCCAUCAACUCAUUCCACUCGUUGCCUCUUUUCUUGGCAUUGACAAUGGCUUCCCAAUCUUUUUUCGUCAUUUCGGCCUUGCACCUUAUGCAAAGCCGAAGAUGCUUUUUGGCAUGUGCCACGUUGUCAGCGAUCUCCAGAUCCACAGUCUCUUUCCCUUUAACAUUCACCAUAUUGACCUGAAAAGGAAAAGAACAUCUAUCAAUUACCUUAUUUUCAUUUUCUUGGUCGGCUAGUAUAAGCCGACCCUCGUCUAUUUCUUCUUGGAUCUGCCUUUUUGCAGUGGCUUUUCCUUUUCCUUUCAUAUUCACGGCGGUGACCUGUGAUGGAAAAGGAUUCUUAUCAAUUUCCAUAUUUUUGUUUUCUUGGUCGGCAAAGAUGAGCCGUCCUUCGUUUAUCUCUUUUUGUUUCUGCCUCUUAAAGGCAGUGCAUUCACUAGUUUUAUGGCUCCACGAGUGGUGCUACUUACAAUAUCUUCUGCGUUUUAGUUCUUCUACCGGAGGUAUAGUCUGACCCUCCUGUAGUUUAAUUCGUCCAUCCUUUAGCAACCGAUCGAAAAUUAGAUCGGUCUUUGCUAUAUCAAACGAAUAACUAAAUGCAGACAUAUGUGCUUUCGCCUCUCUUGAUUUGGCGGGUUUUAACAAAGCACAUUUGUACGGUUGAUUAUUUCUUACCAUCUCGGCCGCACAAAUUUCGGCUUCAUCAGCCGAAUCCUCAUUUUCUUCAGACGAAUUCGGCUCUUCAUGAGCCGAAGAUUCUUCAAGGAAAGAGAUAUUUUUUCUCCUUUCCUUUGUUCCAAUCUUUGUUUCGGCUCCAUCUGGGCCGAUCUUCAUUAUUACCUUUUCGGAAUUGCUCGUAUUGAGCAACUCGAACUCCCAAAUCAAAACGAUUUGGAAAGAAUUUUUCCUCAAAAUGAUUUUAAUUUUAAAAUGCAUGCCGUUGAAUGUUAUUUUGGCAAAUUCUGAUUCCGGCAUUCUUACAAAACAACGGUUUCGAGCAAUCUUAAAUCGGUUCAAAUAUUUAUCAACCGAUUCUCCUGUUUUUUGUUUGAAUUGAGCCAAAUCCGCAACCGAUAGCUCUGGCUCCGUUCUAUAAAACUGUUCAUAAAAUUUACCUUCUAACUCGUCCCAAUCUCGGACAGAAUUAGCAGGUAAGCUUGUGUACCAAGUAAAAGCCGUCUUAGUCAAUGAGGUAUUAAAUAACCUCAAUUUUAAAAACGGAUCUGCCGCGGCCUCACGGCACUGAGCUGUAAACCGUGCGACGUGCUCGAUAGUAUUUUCGGUCUCGUCGCCAGAAAACUUGUCAAACUUCGGCAUCUUCCAAUUUGUCGGAUAUGGGUGUUCUACAUCUAUAUUUGCAGGGUAUGGUGACCUGAAAACGGGAUGCAUUGCCGGCCUUGCGCCUACUCCGAAAGUAUUCCGGAUGGCUUCUUCUAUUUGCGCAUAAAUUUCGUUAUUAAUCCCCUGUAAAGGGGCUUGCGCUGGCGCUGGUGCUGGGUUCGGCGGUUGUGGCACUCCGAUGUUUUGUACCACGGGAUUAACCCCUUGUACAUUUGGAGCAUGCCCCCUAGCCCCUGUAUUUUGAGGCUGGUACACUGCUACUGGAGGAGGUGGAGGUAACCCUCAAGCUACUUCUGGCUGUUGACUGACAUUACCGACAGCCGGUCUAUAAGCCGCUUGAUAUGGUGGCCCCUGAUAUUGGGGCUGACCACUUAUUGGUGUUACUGGAUUUUGUAACACUGGUGUCAUCACAGGCGCUUGUAGGCCUGUUAUCGGCUGUUCAUUCCGAGCCAACAACUGCCCUAUUCGGGCGAUGUUCUCGUUAGAGGCCGUAAUUGCGGCCAAGACGGCAUCAAGUCGUGCAGUACUCGCAUGACUAUUUUGGUCCAAAAUUUGUAGGACCUGAGUCAUUUGUUCAAGCGCCUGGAUCAAACUAGGCUCCGGUUGGCCAAAUUGGCCACUGGUUUCACCCUCAGCAGGUAAAACUGUUUGGCGCUCUAUGGCAUUCUCCGAAUUACUGGGUUGUUCGCUCCCAGAAUUUCUAGGAAUGACCCUAUUACGGAGAUUCAUGGCAUUAUCAUCAGCCAUUAUUUAUAUAAGAUGUAUAUUUACCUUAAAUGUGCUGUCCCACUGGGCGUACCAAAAUUUAUUGGUUGUCGCAAUCUAUAAUCCCUGACCCAAUCAAAGAUUCUCUUCGGGAAGUGCGUCGGGAUGCGGAACGGCUGCGGAUAGUGACCCUCGAAGUGUGCGCCCUUCGACUGGAUCAAGCGAUUCGGCUGAUGAGGGAUCAAAUCAGCCGGAUCCGAAAGCUCUUUUCACUCUUCGGUUCGGUUGGAUGAGCGGAAUAUGCAGGGAAAGUCGAAAAUUUAGCCGGGAGAUGAGCCGAAUGGCUAGUACAAUACAAAAUAUGGUCGGCCUGAAUAGCCGAACGUGACUUUCUAUUGAAUAGAAAAUGGAAAAGUACAAGAACAGGGGAGUGAUGCCCGUAGGGCAGACAGACUCCAAAUAUAUUCUACAAGGGAGUGAUGCCCGUGGGGCAGACAGACUCCAAAGAUCUAAGUUACAGGAACUACUCCUAGGGAAAGCAGUAAAUGCGAGAAAGAAAGAUGCAGGAAAAAAAAGGCGGUCUUUUGUGCGCAGGAGCGAAGACCUCUUUUUGGGGUAUUAUUACACUAUUUACAGAUAACCCCCUCGGUCAGUUAUUGUUCUUACACGAUUGGACACUAUCUCCUCAUAUUCCGGACCACUUCUAGCCGAUCGGAAUCGCAUGUAACUGCUUGCGGUUACCGUAACUUCCUUCAAUUGGCGCUAUACAUUUUUCCGGUGCUCUCGAUACACGACCGAAUAGAUGUUUUUGAAGGAAAUAUUCGCACCUAAAUUUCAUCCACGCCUAAUUGGCUCAACAAUAGCGAAGAAUAAAAUCAAAAUAUUAUUCAACAAAAAUAGAAUUUUCAGUCCUGGGGUUUAGCAAUUCUUUUUAAAAUUUUUAGCACUAACUAUUGUAAUUUAUUUGCUAAAAUGAUUAGAGUAGAAUCAAUAAUUCACCAAAGAAAUUAGAAUUUUUUAUUAUAUUUCUUUUUGUGCAUGGUAACUUUUUUAGUUAAUAGAUUUUUUAAAAGAUAAUUUCAACCCGCUAAUAGUUGAAGGAAGGAAAAUUAAAUAAUCUUACCAAAUUAUUUUGAGAUAAAAUAAUAGCUAGAAGCAUAUGAAAUACAUAAAUAAUAACUUAACGUAUCUGACUUAAGAAAAUUUUGGUUGGCGUCUCAGGCUCCAAUCUCCGCAUCAUACUUUUUAAUCUACGAAAGAAAUUUUGCCCACAACAGUGUCUACUCAAAAAAAUGGUCAUAAUAUGAAAAUAAAACAAAAAACAUCAAUCUUAAAAAAAUUAAUAUUUUUUUGGAGCACUUCUCUUACUCAUCCAAAUCUCAUACAUCUUCUUAAUCUUCAGCUGGUAGUUGCUGCGCGCGCCGAGUCAUUUCUGAAUUUCUAUUGUAGCCUAUGAACAAACACCUCAUCUGCAUCACCAAACUGCGAUAUCUAAACCGAUACAGCCUUGCCAUCACAUCAACUACAGAAAUUCUUAUUCUUAAACAAUUUGAUUUACCAAGAAGUUCCUGUGAUUCUUGAGAAGCGAGCUCCCGCGCAACGUUGCCGCGAAGAGAAGGCUAGGACGGCGCUCCCCUUGGCCUAGUUGCGGGCGCGUGCGAGCCGUGCGAGGAGGCAGCCGAGGCGGCGGCGGUUCACGGCGAGCGACGGCUCUGAUGCAGACCAGCCCAGCGAGCACUUAUAUGGGCCACGGCUGGACUUUACAGGACGAUAUUUUUUGAAGGAGACAACGUUCUUCGCAUGUUCUUCUUCUCUAUCAUCCUCAUAAUCUUUGUUAACACAAUGAGAUAGAGAGAAGGAGAUGAGUAUGGGGUGAGAGAUUAGAUGAUAAUGUUUCUUUUUGCAUGAAAAAUAACAUGUCAUGCAAGAAAGAGGGGGUGAGGGGAUUAAUGGUGGAGGGGAGUAGAUUGGUGUUACAAAGCUCACUAAUUGAUGAAAUAUAAUGCAUGUAAUUAAAUGUGUUAAGCAUUUAGAAGUGGAGAUUAAUGGUGGAGGGGAGUGGAUUGGAAUUACAAAGCUCACUAAUUGAUAGAAUAUGAUGCAUGGAAUUAAAUGUGGAGAAAUGAAGGGUUUAGCAUAGCAUUUAGAAGUGAGGAUUAAUAGUGGAGGGGAGUGGAUUGGAAUUGCAAAGCUCACUAAUUGGUGAAAUAUAAUGCAUGUAAUUAAAUAUGGAGAGGUGAAUGGUUACGCAUUUAGAAGUGGAGAAGAAACGUAAAUUUUAUAUUGAGGAUUCAUAUAAGAGAUAGAUAUUAUCUAUUAAUCUAAGAAUGAAGGGUUUCUUGCCACGUGGCAAGAAACAUUGUGGAUUCAUUAUGUUUAAUAGAUAUCCGGAUCCCUUCUAUUGUAAAAAAAGUCCAUGUCUAUAAGUUUUUAUGUAAAAUAGAAAUUAAUAAGCUAAAUUAUACUUUUCACCCUCCAUCUGCAAGGCAAGUGAUACUUGAUUCUUAAACUUUAAUUUAUUAUAGUUUUUAACUUUAAGUUUUUAAACUAUUACAAUCAAGUCCUACGUAUUUAAUUGACUAGUUGAUGUGUUGCGGAUGCAACAUCUUAGUCAUUUUUGUUAGGAUUCGUCCACAUUGGGACUUAUCUAAAAUAUUUCUAAUCCAUAUAGGAUCAGAAAUAAUUAUUUAUAAUUAUCUGUUAUAUUCCUAGUCCACUUGGGAUAAAGAAUAAAUCUAACAGAUAAAUCCUAAUAUGUUUAAAUCUCUAUCUAUGUGAGAUUUAGUUAGAAUAUGAUUAGGAUUAAUAUCUUCCUUAUGGCCAUAAAUACAUGAGGUAUUGAUCAUAUACGAUAUAAGAAAGACAACGAAAAAAAUAAGAAUUAUCUCUCCACCAAAAUUCUCUCUCUCUUGGGUUCGCUCUAGGGCACCAUCAUAAACCCUAGGGAUUUGGGCGGUGUGCGGCGAUUGACUUUAGUAGCCGGAUUGCAACGAGUAAGAACAACGUGCAACAAAUUGAGACGGGACGUUGGCGGAUCAACGAGUUCGUAAAAUAAGACGAGAUCAGAUCCUGGUAAUCACAAUAUUAAUUCCGCACCAUAAAGAGGUAUGUAAAAAUCUAUGUAAUUUUUGCGACGAUUGAUUUUUUGGGUAUUUAAUUAAUUUUAUCCAACAGUGGUAUCAGAGCCUUAAAGUGCUUGUUUUUGCUUGAUAUUUUUUUGAAUAUAUUUUUAGAUUGUUAAAAAUAUAAUAAGUCUCGGAUUAGGUUGAGGCAAGAAGCCUGCAUCCAAGAGCAUCGUCGGCCUUGGGUGUCCCGCCCAAUUACGAGGCAACCUGCAUGCUGGGCCUAAUGACUCCAUUGCGCAAUAGGCUACAAUAGAGCCCGCAGCUGUUUAGGCCUAAGGCCCCUCAAGAAUGGGCCUAUUUUGGCAGAGCCCACGCGCGUUUGGCUUGUGGGGCCCGUCCGCACUCGCGCCUGGCCUGCAAGGACCCGCCCGAUUUGGACCUGUGGGCAUGCAGGGCCCGCCAAUGCUGGGCCUGUGGGGGCCCGCAUAUGCAGGGCCCGCGGCCUUGCAGAUCUGCCCGUGCUGGGCUUGCGGAGCCCGCAAGAAUUGGGCCCAAGCAUGUUUGGAAGGCUAGCUUAAGCCUAAGCCCAUAUCAUAAGCUUAAUAGUUCUAUAUAAAAAAUAAAAGAUAGAUGUUGGCUGUAAGAUUUGAACCCUUAUCAUCUAACCACUAGGCUCAAUGUUGCUUGCAUAAUAUUUACAUGCUAUUUUUAUAUAUUGUUUCUGGCCGUCUUAUAUAUGUUAUGAAUGCUUUACAAAUUGCAAUGUGUUAUUUUGAUUAAAUUGCAUAAUGAUUGCAUAAUAUUCAUCAUUUAAUUUGUGACGUGGAUUUAUUCUUAAUUAAUUUGAUAUAUUAUUUUUUUUGCAUUGGAUGAGAUGAUUAUUAGUCUUUUCAAAGGCGAAUUUUUCGAUUUGAAGAUGCAGUGAGAAAUUUUAUUAUCAAAUUGGAUUGAGAAUAAUAGUGGAUAUUUGUGCCUAAUUUAAUAUUAUGUGCAUUAUUGUAGUGAUAAAUGGCUUCCAAAAAUUUUUUCAUCGCGGAUUCGUUAAAUCAAAAUAAGCUUGAUGGAGCAAAUUAUGACAUGUGGCAUAGAAAAAUUCAAUAUCUCCUUAAUGAGAAAGGGAUACUUAGCCAUUUAACCAACAGUAUGGUUCAGCCUAAAGAAGGCACGACGGCUCAGCACCGUCGCGAUUUACAAGCCUAUAACGAGUGGCUUGAGAAAGAUCGAAGUGCACGAUAUACCAUGUUGAGCUGUAUGCACGAUGAUUUGAUCAAAGAAUUUGAAAAUUAUGAGACUGCUAAAAAUAUGUGGGAGCAGCUCAAAGUGAAAUAUGGGGGCACGUCGACCACAAGACUUCGUGCCUUGAAUCUCAAAUUCAAUCAAUACACGUUGGACCCGAAGCAUUCUAUGGCAGAGCACUUAAGGGUGAUGUCUGCUAUGAUAAGAGAACUUAAAGCAGCCGGUUGCGAGCUCACUGACGAACAACAGGUUCAAUCAGUUAUAAGGUCCUUACCAGAUUCAUCUUGGGAUCAAAUCAAGAUUGUGCUGACUCAUAAUGAAGGUAUUAAGACCUUCAACGAUAUAUCUCGACAUCUUGAGUUGGAAGCGGAGCGCAGAGAGGCGAACCGUGCCAAUGCACUCGUUGCCCACGGUGGACAGCGCAGAGGCAAGUGGCCUAAGCACAAGCGCCGAAAUGGAGAAAAUAAAUAUGCAAAGACUGGGAACCGUGCGCCAAAUGAGGGCGGAAUUGAGAAGCGCCGCAAAGGCAGGCGCGGAAAGAAAAAUUUAAAUAAAGUGAAAUGCUAUAACUGUGGAAAUAUGGGACACUUCGCUCGUGAUUGCACUGAGCCGAAGAAGGUAAAUCCCAAUCCUGACUCUCUUAUUUAUGUAUGCUCGCACGUUUUUGUUGCUCACGCUCUCUCUGAUUGGAUUGUAGACACAGGAGCAACAAAGCAUGUAACGAGAGAUCGAGCAGGAUAUGUGGAUUAUCGUCGGGUGUCUGCUGGCAGCCAUUAUGUCAUGAUGGGAAACGGCACUGAGGAAGAAGUCCUUGGAAUUGGCGCAUACCAACUUAGAUUGCGCAAUGGUCGUUAUUUGAUAUUACACGAUGUGCUGUAUGCACCGAACAUCCGAUGUAAUCUACUGUCAGUUUUAGCGUUACUUAGAUUAGGUUUUUCUUUUCAAUUUACGGAUACUCAGUUAGCUAUUUAUUUGGGCAAGGACUUUUAUGGUAAUGGUUGUUUAAAGAAUGAUUUCUUUGUCUUAGAUUUGGACUUGGAUUUUAUUAAUAAUAAUAAUAAUUCUGCUUUAUUAGUUUCUUCUGAUAUUGUGUCUGAUUCUAUCAAAUGGCAUGCGAGAUUGGGUCACAUUGGACAAGAAAGAAUGGCUCGACUAGCUAGAGAAGGCCUGUUGGGGUCACUCGCUAAGCUUAGCCUACCUCCUUGUGAACCAUGUUUAGCAGGAAAAGCCUGCAGAAAGCCUUUUGGUAAGGCACGUAGAGCAACUCAUCCAUUGGAGCUAGUUCAUUCAGACAUAUGCGGACCUAUGAAUGUGAGAGCACGUCAUGGCGCGUACUAUUUCCUCACUUUCAUUGAUGACUACUCCCGUUAUAGUUCGGUAUAUCUGUUGUCUCACCGUUCAGAAGCUUUAGAUUAUUUUAAACGCUUCUUAGUGGAGGUUGAGAACCAAACAGAAAGAACUCUAAAAGUUCUACGUACUGAUAGAGGACGAGAGUAUUUAUCAGACCAGUUCAGGGAACUAUGUGAGGAAAAGGGAAUACGCAGACAGUUAACUAUUCCCGGUACUCCGCAACAAAAUGGUGUUGCAGAGAGGAGGAAUAGGACUCUUUUGGAAAUGGUUAGGUCUAUGAUGGCGCAAGCCAACCUCCCAAUCAGUUUUUGGGGUGAUGCGUUGUUGACUGCUGCCUAUAUACUUAACCGAGUGCCCUCUAAGUCAGUUCCUUCAACUCCCUAUGAGCUAUGGCAUGGUAUAAAGCCAAAUUUGGAAGGCUUACGACCAUGGGGAUCGGCAGGAUAUGUGCAUAAUACUUCUCAUAAAUAUGGAAAGUUAGGCCCUAGAGCAAAUAAACAAAUUUUUAUUAGAUAUUCUGAUUGCUCGAAAGGCUAUGUGAUGUAUGGUAAGCAUCCUGAUGGAGGAAUGACUGAGAUAGAGUCGCGCGAUGUGGAUUUUCUUGAGAAUGAUUUUCCAGACAUUGGUGAGAUUAAAAAGGACCUUGCACUAUACGAGUUGCAAGAACCUAAUGGAAAUGUCCCAUUGUUAGGCGAGAAUGAGGCACUGAGGCCACAUGAAGAAAUAGCCCAAAACAGUGGGAGUGAUCCUAUGGUCAGUGGGAGUGUGCCGAUUGACCAUGGCUCACAAAGUCCAUCAUUACGAAGAAGUAAACGUGGAGGUGUUCCCCGUCGUCGAUUUGAGAUUGAAGGGGAAUCGUUCAUGUGUGCUUCUACGGAUCUUGAUGAGCCGGCUUCUUAUGCUGAAGCUUUGAAUUCACCAGUUUGUGAUAAAUGGCUAGCUGCUAUGGAGGAUGAGAUGAGUUCUAUGGCUAAGAAUAAUGUGUGGGAGUUAGUUGAUCUUCCGUCUGGACGCAAAACUAUUGGAAAUAAAUGGAUUUUUAAAAUAAAACAUAAGGCGGAUGGAUCAAUUGACAAAUAUAAGGCCCGAUUAGUGGCGAAAGGAUACACCCAAAAGGAGCUCGAGAAAGUAGACUAUGAAGAGACAUUCUCCCCAGUGGUGAGGUUUGUCUCAAUUCGCCUGAUUCUGGCUAUCGUCGCACAUUUAGAUUUGGAACUGUUCCAAAUGGAUGUGAAGACUGCAUUUCUCAAUGGAGAACUAGACGAGGAGAUUUAUAUGAAUCAACCUCCUGGUUUUAUAGCCGAAGGACAAGAGCGCAAAGUGUGCUGCUUAAAACGUUUCAUUUACGGCUUGAAACAAUCGUCUAAGCAAUGGUAUCAACGUUUUCAUAGAGCAAUUAUUUCAAUAGGCUUUGUGAUGAUCGAAUAAGACCAUUGCGUGUACGUUAAAAGGGAAGAAAAGAGUUUUCUUAUCCUUUCACUAUAUGUAGACAAUAUCUUGUUGGCCGGAAAUAAUAUGGAGUUAAUAAUCAUCACACAGGAGUGGUUUUCCUCUACUUUUGAGAUGAAGGAUAUGGGACAAGCGGAUUAUGUAUUGGGAGUCAAGAUCCAUAGGGAUCGAUCUCGAAAAUUCUUAAGUUUGUCUCAAGAGACUUACAUCAAAAGAAUUUUGGAGCGAUUCCGAAUGCAUAAUUCGAAACCUAUUGACACUCCAAUGGAAAAGGGUCAUUAUCUUAGCCUUGAACAGUGCCCUAAAUCAGAAGAAGACAGAAAGCAGAUGGAAAAAGUCCCAUAUGCGAGCGCAGUUGGCAGCUUGAUGUAUGCAAUGAUGUGUACUCGGCCGGACAUAUGUUUCGCUGUUGGCAUGGUUAGUCGAUAUCAGAGUAAUCCUGGUGCAGCACAUUGGCAAGCAGUUAAGAGAAUUUUCAGAUAUCUGCGAGGUACUGCGAACCUUGCUCUAUGCUAUCAUGGAGGAGAGCUUAGAUUGACGGGAUACACCGACGCUGAUGGAUCCGCAGAUAGAGAUGAACGCAAAUCUACCUCGGGAUAUGCGUUUAUACUUGGAGGAGCUGCUAUUUCAUGGUGUAGUAAGAAACAACCAUGUGUCUCCUUGUCGACUAUGGAGUCAGAAUACAUUGCAUGUACAGCAGCAGUACAAGAGGCUGUUUGGCUAAGGAGAUUUAUGAUAAAUUUGAGUGUAACAGCACGUGCAGAUGAUGCUGUUAUUAUCUAUUGUGACAACAAAGCAGCAAUAGCUUAUGCGAAGGAUCCAAAGUAUCAUGGAAGAUCUAAACACAUUGAGACCAGAUAUCACUUCAUAAGAGAUAUAAUUGCACAGGGACAGAUUGUAAUUAAAUUUGCAUCUACUGAUGAUAUGAUAGCAGAUCCUUUUACUAAACCCCUUGUUAGAAAUGUUUUUCAUAAACAUGUUAGAGGAUUGGGUUUGUGUAGGACUUGACUUUUAUAUAUCUUGUAUUUAUAAUUUUGCUAAUAAAUUAUUUUAGAAAUCUUUUUUCAUUUAUAUACAUGUUUAUUAAAUUUUAAAUUAGUGCACAAUAUCCUUGUGAGAAUGAAUGUCACCAGGCCCUUGAUCAGCCCUCUCACACGGGUGAUCGCCCUGUCGCUAGGAGAGCGAGCAGGAUGAGACAAAUAAGAUCACAUAAAUGCAGUUAGUAAUGCAGGUGAUCCACUUUGCGCUAUAAGAGCUGGCGAGUGUUUAAAUCUUGAAUGUCGCCUUAGAUGAGCUAAGAUGAGACUGUACGAAGUCGACAGUAGAGAUGGUCCACGACUCUACUUGGCCUGUAUGAAGCCGAAUGUAAAGAAGACACCAUGUGGGUGACUGUCUUGAGGUUUGUUGUCUUGAGUUACAACAAAACCGACAUUCGUAUGGUGUUUUGAGCGUGACAUGUCCUUAGAGGUAGCUCCACCAUAGCAUACGUUCAUACCGUAUGUGCAAGAUCGAUCACUAUGUUUUAGAGAGUGACGAAAUUGAUUCCCGUUUCGUCGCUGUGUGAGCUUUCGUACCCUUUGGGACUUAGAACCAUGUUAUGAAGUGGAUACUUGGUGAUGCUACUUUAGCAUGAUAUCCAAGGGCCAUGAUUGAUUCGGUCCAGUGGAACAUGUCUAGAAAAGCAGUCAAGUUGAAAUGGAUUGACAUGAGGCAUCUAAGGAAAAAUCAUUUAAGAAUACACCUAUGAUUUGUUACUCAUUGCCCGGGCGAUUAUGUUGAUAUUUGUUGUCAAUAUAAUCAUGAGAACAAAUACAUUAAUGAGAGAGAUCUAGUUUGCUCUAAGGGAUCAGAGAUGCUAUGAUCUGGUGUAGUUCAGCGAUUUGGGGUAUAGACGAGAUUUGGAGUUGUAGUGUUAUGUUAGUUCGGAUGGUGGCUUAAUAUAACACUCCUCACUUAUGAUUCUUCUUGUUAUUGAUUGCACCAACCAUUUCCCGUAUGAAGAACAGAAUGAGAUGAGAAUAUAUUUGGAAUGAGAAAGUAUGAAUAAGUACCAAGUAUGUACGAGUGGGAGAUGUUAGGAUUCGUCCACAUUGGGACUUAUCUAAAAUAUUUCUAAUCCAUAUAGGAUCAGAAAUAAUUAUUUAUAAUUAUCUGUUAUAUUCCUAGUCCACUUGGGAUAAAGAAUAAAUCUAACAGAUAAAUCCUAAUAUGUUUAAAUCUCUAUCUAUGUGAGAUUUAGUUAGAAUAUGAUUAGGAUUAAUAUCUUCCUUAUGGCCUAUAAAUACAUGAGGUAUUGACCAUAUACGAUAUAAGAAAGACAACGAGAAAAAUAAGAAUUAUCUCUCCACCAAAAUUCUCUCUUUCUUGGGUUCGCUCUAAGGCACCAUCAUAAACCCUAGGGAUUUGGGCGGUGUGCGGCAAUCGACUCUAGUAACACUACAACAAAAACGGUCUAUAGCAAUACUUUUAAAUGUAGGUACAUGUCAGAAAAGUGCUGCUAGCUAAAAUUACAGACACUUUUAAAAAGUGUUGCUAUAUGUGGGGUCGCUAGGUAUGUAGUGACAGUUAAAGAGUAUCGCUAUAACCUAAAAGAGUGCUGCUAAUUUACAAACACUUAUUUAAACAUUUAACAACCGCUGAAACUCUAUCUCGUUGGUUGCGGUGGCGGAGAAGGACGACAGUAAAGACUCUUCGUCUAGAAUUUCAGUGGAUUGAGUAAAUAGAGAAGAAAAGAUAGUAAUUGAUUUUUCUUUUUUUUUCUUUUCUGUUUGUAAUUGGGCCAAAUGAACUCGGUGUGGUGGGUUGAGUAGAGUAAUCUUUUAUUUUUGGUUGGAUUGGGCUUUAUAUUUAGGCAUUAGUAGAUGUGUUUUUAAGUUUUAGCAUAAAUGGGACACUUACUUAAAAGUGUCUCAAACAUGUGUUCCUAUAACCUAAUUCUGUUGUAGUGUAGCCGGAUUGCAACGAGUAAGAACAACGUGCAACAAAUUGAGACGGGACAUUGGCGGAUCAAUAAGUUCGUAAAACAAGACGAGAUCAGAUCCUGAUAAUUACAACAUUAAUUCCGCACCAUAAAGAGGUAUGUAAAAAUCUAUGUGAUUUUUGCAACGAUUGAUUUUUUGGGUAUUUAAUUAAUUUUAUCCAACAAUUUUCAUGUCAUCAAUUACAACACUAUCACGUCAUUGUUGUAUAACACCAUUUAGCCAACUUAAUCGGACUAUAGGAUUUGAUUGCAACAAUUUAAAAAUUUGAGUCAGAAGUUAAAAAAAAUUAAAUUUUGAAAACUAAAAUAUUACCCACCUCAUAAUUAAUUUAAGGACUAAAAUGUAUUUUUACAAAAUUAAGAUGCAUGUAUGCAUGACUUUAAUUCGAAGACUUCGGAGUGCGACCAAAAGUUUGAUGGACACCAAAUUCCGAUGGUGAGAUUGUCAAAUUUAUUUUAUGCGUAAUGCUCGUUUUUCGAAGGAGCAAUAUAUACUUCAUGUGUAACCAUAGAAUAAGUGUAAAUUUUAUAUCUUUUUAUUUAAGGAUUAAUAUCUUUACAUCAGUUAUAUCAAAUUUUUUUUUCAAAAUUAGAAAUAAUAAAAAGGGUGUCUAAAUCCAUGAAUCGGUGGGCAUAAAAUUUACCACCCACUUGGUUUAUAAAGUGCAUUUAUAUUUUCAGAACAGUGAUGGCCAGUAGAUUUGACAAUUUUGCUCCCAUAAAUUUUUCUUCCUGGUCCAUAUAGACCACGGUGCAUGCAAACUUUCAACGUGUUCACGUGGAAGGACCGCUUAAAAAUGCCCAAAGGCUAAGCUAAAAGCAAGCAUAUGUGGGAGAGGAAUAUAUAUUACAACAGGUUAUCCUCCCUCAACAGUACUUUUUCAGAUCUCAGCAGCAGCCACCUUAAUUUCUCACCUCCAAAGAACAUAUCUCUUAUUAGGAUCACCCACCUCUCUACAUCUCUCUCUCUCUCUCUCUCUCUCUCUCUCUCUCUCUCUCUUUUUCUCGCUGAUCCCCUUCCAAGGCAUUUUAAGUGGUUGUAGGGAAGAAUUAAAUGAACUUACAGGGUUAUCAAGUCAAGAUCAUGCUGAGGAGAAUCACAUGCCAAAGGGAAGGGCGCACUAACAAAUUAAGAGUUGUUUUAUAUCAAUAUAGGAACAUUUUAAUUCAACAUAUAUAUAUUUAUUAGUUUAUAAAAAAAUAUUUAAUAAUUGACAGAUGAAAAAGUAUGACUAUAUGCGUACAGCUAGCGGCGCACUAUAAUUAUUAGAGCAAUGCUCCUAUACACCAAAAAGAUUUCGGCCCUUAAAUUUUUUAAAAUGAAUGGUGGAUAUGUCAUUUAGUUAAGAGGGUGACUGGCUUUUGUUGCCAUAGGUACCACUCACCAUCCUACCAAGCGUAAAUUAUUUCCUCAUAUAUAAAAUUAGUAUGAAGGGCUUUUUUUUGUAAAUUUCUAUUUUCAUUCUCAUAAUGCUCUUCUAGUAAUUUGGUAAGAUAUCUCGUUUUAUUCUUAGAAACUUUUCACCCACAGAUAUUUUCCUCGAAGCUAUUUUACCCUUUUUUUUCUUUGUUGAGAGAGAAAUCCAUGUCCAAUCUACAUUUACAUCUAAAUUUCCCAUUUUAUUCUUAGAAACUUUUCACUCACAGAUAUUUUCCUCGAAGCUAUUUUACCCUUUUUUUUCUUUGUUGAGAGAGAAAUCCAUGUCCAAUCUACAUUUAAAUCUAAAUUUAAAAUUUAAUUUUAAUCAAUAUUUUUAAACUUUAAUGUUGUUUUUACUAUCGAAUGAACAAUUUGAAUUUAAUUUUAAAAAUAGAAGCCUUUAAUUUAAAUAAAUAAUAAAAAUUAUGUUUAUAAAUACAACAUAAUUUACAAUUUAAAAUAAGUUAAUAUAUUUGAAAUUUCGUGUCGUUUUAAUAUCAAAUUAACAAUUUGAAUUGAAAUAUACUAUUCAUUUAAACAUAAAAUUUUUCGUUUUACAAAUUAAAAUUAAAAUUAAAUUUGAAUUUAAUAUACACAAUUAUAAGGUUUAAAUAAAUGUUUAUUACUUAUCAAAUUAGCACUUUCUAAUUUGGUAUGUAACAAAAUUAAAUAAGGAAAUAAAUAUUUGUAUAGGGUUAAUCAAAUUUGGUAAUUAGCUUGUAUUCGUUUUCCCAUAUUACCCUUACGAAUGGUAACCUGUUGAGCAGAUAACUAUUAUACAAAAGUCAAUCUCGCCCCUCAAAUAUGAACGGCUAAAUUUAAUUUAGCCGGUGUAUUGAAGCAUUCCUCUAAUUAUUAAAUAUGAAAAUAUAAAAGCAUAUCAGUCUUUAUAAGCUUAAACUUUAAAAGAACAACGAUUAUUUCAUAUAAUUUCAUAAUUUUUAGCAUUUAAAUCUAGUUUUCUUGAAACAAGAUAACUUACCUCGCAANGUUUUAUUUUCCUUAAAUAAAAUUUUUAAAAAUACGUUCUUUAAUGUUUUUUUUACGAGGAAAGAAAAAAUUACUACUCUUUUCUCUCUUCUCUAGCCAUAUCCUUCUCUUUACCACCUAUUCUACUUCUUUGCAACCCGACCCCGUCCGAACUCCUUCUCCACUCACACCCAAACCUUAACUUUGAAGUUAGGUCCGAACCUCCGGCCUUAGUUAAACAUUCGAUUAUCUGGUAAGGUUAAGGUUAGGCUUUACCCUCAGAGUUUGGCUAAGGAUACUUGGUUUGUUUUAAUCGUCCUAAACUAGUUUGGCUAAGAGUAAGGCACUAGGCCUAGGUUUUACAUGCUUGAUUUGUAUGGGAAUCACGACAAGUUCUAGGACCCUCGGUAUUAAAUGAUCUUGGAACGUAGCAUAGCUCUAACUUGAGAGUAGUAUUAAUUUUUUUUUAUAAAUUUUAGAUAGUUUUAUAAAAUUAUAUUUAAAAGUAAAAUUACUAUUACGUUAUUCUAUUAUUUUUUAUUUUAUAUCAAUCAAAUAGUGAAAUAGGAAUAAUUCAUUCCGAUUUUCAAUCCAGAAAUGAACCAAACGCCUUGGGAGAGUGCGGCAAUCUAAUUACCAUUCCAAUUCAUUUCCAUUCCAUUAUCUAUUCCAAUUCCACUCUUGAAUCAGACAAGCCCUAAAAGUAAACAGUUGGAUGACAAUCACAAAAGAAAAUUUCUAUAUGGCGUGUAGUAACUUGUUCCGACGUCGACGAGCCCUAGGCGAAGGGUUGAAUUUAACACACAAAAACAUAUGAAACUUGAAUUAUGAACUAUUUAGAUUUGGCAACCCAACAUAUCAAAAUUUUGAUUUUACUGUCUAAUCUUUCAAUUUGUUUGAUUUAAGUAAGUUGACGACACUUUAACUUUAAAAUUUGAAUGCAAUAUUGUUUAUCUUUACAGACUUAAUUAGUAUAUUUUAUAUAAUUCUUACAAUUAUAAAUUUAUUAAAAGUAAAUAAUUAGCUUUAAUUUUGAAGUUAAAUUAUUAUUGACUAUCUCAAAUCAAAUAAAUUAAAAUUUUGAAUGAUUGGUUCGCCAAAUCCAAAUAGUCCAUCACGGAGGCAAGUUUAAUUCAUACGUUUUUAACUUUGUUCUCCUAUAACAAAAGACUAUAGCAAAUAAUAGCAUGAACGGUGUAGAACCAGAUUUACAAUCAUAAUACAAAAUAAAUUAAAUAAGCGUUUAUUACUAUACUCUGCUCUCCUGGAGGGCCUGUUUGUUUGGUGUAAGUAGAGUGAUGGAACUCCCGUUAUUUAUUUUGGUGUAAAUGAAAAAUAUAAUGUAACUCAAUUUAUGUUAGAGCUCCACUUCACCUACUCUCGACCUCCUCUUCUAAAGUGCCGAACUCGACUUCCACCACACUCAACCUCCUCUAAAAAAUUAAUUAAACAGUAAAAUAUAAACUCUACUUCUUUUAUAAUGGGUUAGAAUUACCUUAUUUGUAAUAAAUUAGGAUUACCUUUAAAUAAUAAUAAAAAAUUUAAUUAUAUAAUAGGUUAAAUUUUAUAGUGUAAAUUUACUACUAUAUUUAGGAGAUAAUGGGAUCCACUUACUUACAUCAAAAUAAACAACGGAACUCAAAAAACUAAUUUUACCAACACCAAAUUAUAUCAAAACAAACAGAAGAAGUAAUUGAAUAUAACUUUCAGACUGUAAGAGUUACGUCAAAACAAACAACAAAAAAAUAAUCACACUUAAGGAAAACUCAAACACCACUACACUUGAUUUACGUUGGAUUUACAGAUUCGUCAAUCCAAACGCCCCUGAGUGGAACUCGAAUCACAUACCAAAGGGGUACGAGCUUUCGGGAGAGACACCGUACAGGCCGCAAAAGAAGAGCAAAAAGUUGUUUGGGAGAGAGGAUAUCCGUAGCAUAACCCUUCUCCAACCUUUAUAUCCAACCUUUAUAUGGCAUAUGCCAUUUUAUUUGCACUAUGGGCGUAUGCCAUCUUGAUCUGCUUCUCGGCCAAAGGAGGAAGUCGCGCCGCACUAUAAGAAGCUGCGGAGAUCAUCGGAGAGGAGAAGGCGAGGAAUGAAAUUAACGGCAGAGAGCGUCGAUGCGGAGUACGCUCGGAUUGUUAAGCGAUGCAGUCGUAGGGCUUCUCUCUGUUUGGCAGCUGUUGAGGAGGGAGAGAGAGAGAGUGAGGUUUACAUCUAGCUAGCUAGUACUUGGUUUCUGUACUUACUUCCAUUACCUGCCAAAGGAGAGUUGCCCUAUGACUGGUUUCAGCUUAAUUAACUACAGAGCCAGAAGCACAAAAAGCAGUGGAUCGGGCUCGCUUCUUCUCGUUCCGAACAUGUACUGAGGUAAAUCAACAGUUGCAGAUGAUUCGGAGAACAUAAAUAUAUAGUUCUUAUUGACAAAGUUAUGUGGGGAUUUUGAACCAUAAAAAAUAUGCACUCCAAAGUUGUUAUGGUGAAGCAUGAAAUAAUAAUAUUGAAGGCCAAAUUAAAGAGAAGGUAGAAUAAGAUGAAGAACAAGGAAAGAAACAUACAACAAAUCUGACGGCGACAAAAUCAUUCAUGCUUUGUGAAGAUUGUGAUUUUAAGGAAGUAUGAAGUUGAGAACUCUAUCUUUAUAGUAAAGUUUAGUGAUCUUUAAUUCCACACAAAAAAAAAAGAAGAAAAAAAGACAUAAAAGUCGAGUGAAUUUUUGAACAUUUUACACUUUAUUCUAUUAAAUUAUUUCAGAGCAAUAGUAGUAUAUCCCCAUGGUUUUGCAUGCAUGUUUUGCUUCGUGAGUAGACUUAGCUACAUAUGUAUCUAGGAUAUUAACUAAUUAACAUGAAGAAAAAUGCCAAAGUGGGUUGUUUGACCUAGCAUUGCUCAAAAGCUAUUAUUUGACAUGUUAUUAGUUUAAGUUUGGAUUGUUAUGAAUUUGUUGUUGAAUAUUAAUGAGAAACAAUACGAUAUCCAUAAGAUCACUUGCUAGAUCACCAUUCUCUCUCUCUCUCUACGCAUACAAAUACCUAUAUAUACUUUAAUAACUAUCUCAAAUUAAUAAAUUUGUAUAAUAUAUUUAUUCAAAAGUUAACAAUAAAAUUAAAUUUGAAAAAGUAAAUUCAUUUAUCAUAUAUUAUUAGAAAAUAUCUAUUAUAUUCUAACACAAAUUUGAAUAGUUAUUGCCGACAAUAAUUAUAUAGUUCUAUUUUUUAUUUUAUAAAAUUUGAGUUUGGAUUGUGAAAUAAAUUUAAUUUUGGAUGUCAAAUUUGAAUUAAGAAUUAAAAUAUUUUUGAUUAAAGUGAAUCAAAAUUAACUUUUUAAAAUUUUCAAUUAAAGGUAAACUAAAAUUUUGCUACUUCUAGUUUCAUUGAGUCCUUCGCAAGCUUCCUAGUUUAAAACACAUAAUUAAAAUUGGAAUCCAUCAAACUUUGAAAAACAUAGAAAAAUUUUCAAUAUAUAAUUAAAUUUUAAUUCUAAAUUCAAGAUAAAAUAAAAUUUUAAAAUAAAAAUGAUUAAAACAUAUAUAUAUAUAUAUUUGAAAUUGAAAUUAAAUUUAAAUUUCAUUGUUGGUUGAAAAGUAAAGAUAACAACUAAAUAUCAGUAGAUAAAAUUGAGACAACCUAAAAAUAUUCACCUAAAAUGAAAAUAUAUGAAAUAUUUUGAAGGUUAUCCAUCAGAGAAAAAAAGAAUUAAAAAUUUGUUUCGUUACGUUACUUAUUUUUCGUAAAAAAAAGAAGAACCAAUAUUUUUUCUGCAAAAUAUGAGUCUGUCGAUAGACCCAAAUUCAAAAGGUGGCUUCAUGUCGAGAAUUAUCUCGGUUUAAACAUUGCAAAAUUUAAAGAAAGUCUUGAUUGACAUCUCUUUCACAAAUUUAGGCAUUAAUUUUGCACUAAUUUAAGCAUUAAUUUGAGGAAUAUUAGAAUUAUACUAAUUUUGGCAUUAAUUUUGUAUCAAUAUUUAAGAAAUUUUGAAUGUGGAUACGUAUUCAAAUUUUACAGACUUAAUAUGUUGAAGGAAUUUUAGAGUUCCCCUAAUUUAGAUAUUAAUUUUGUAUCACUAUUUAAAAAUAUUUGAAUGUGGAUAAAUAUUUAAAUUCAAUAUAUUUAAUAUGUUUAAGAAAUUUUAGAAUUCCUCUUAUUUACACAUUAAUUUUAUAUCACUAUUUUAAAAAAGUUUGAAUAUGCAUAAAUAUUUGAUUCAAUAGGAAAAUAGGAUAGAAUUCAAAUUUAUUGUUAGAAUAGAAUUGUACUGGCUAAAUUAAUUCAAAUUUUAAUAGUAAAAGUUGAUCUUUCAAAAUAAUGAGAUCAUGUAUUACAAUUUAAAUAUAAGUUGAAAAUAAAUUUAAAGUUUAAAACCUAAAUAGUAUAUAGAAAGCUCCAAUAAAUUUUAAAAAUAUAGCGCAAUUUAAACUUACCGGCUAAAUAAAUCUAAACCAUACAAUUAAAAUUGUACACUUAUAAUAAAUUUCUACCAUAGAGUUUUUGUCACGCCCCGGAUUUCUCGUUCUCCGGGCACGCCGACAAAUCCGCCGUAUACAAAGGAAUUUCCUCUGUACACGAAGCGACAGCUGUACCUGUAAACAUACAAUACUACAAACAGUAGUUUAGAGCUGCUAGAAAAAACAAAAGCUAAACAAACUGAGUUUCAUAUAUAUAGUCCAAAUCCAAAAUACAGAGUUACUCGCACUGGCGAGUUAAGUCCACUAUGUAUAUAAACUCGAAACAAAACAUCUACCUGCAGUAGGGGUGCCUCUAGCUCUGCUCGUCGGGUAGGGCUCUAACUCGCGACGCCCUUGCCUCGAUCCGCCUCGGAAAGCGCAGCAGCCGAAACCAGUGGCUCUGCAAAAUAGGGGUAACAAACAGGGCGUGAGAACUACUGUAAAACAAGUAGUCCUCAGUGGGUGCCGCCCAAACAACAUCGGUCCACCCACUAAGUCUACAGAGGGGAGCCAAGAUAGUAGGAAAAUGCAGGAAAUAAACUCAACCGCUACAAAUUACUACACGAUCAUGCUCUACACUAACCAACUGUAGGAAAUGUCAAAUCUGACCCAAUCCAAUCGGGACUGUAAACAUACCCAUCCCUGGGACUGUGAAUACACCCAUCCCUGCCCAGUUGCGACUAUCCAGCUACCUCCACACUAACUGGUCUGUGGAGAGCAAGUCCAACCGGCAUGAGCGACACCAACGCAAAAGCACAAAACCAUCUCCGGAGUGGCACUCGUGGGCGCUACCCAACCGAGUAUGCAGCGUAUCUCUGUUGAGCUCAAUCAGGCUCUGUCAAGCCAAAGUCCAAGUAACCGACUCUAACUGGUCUAACAACCAAUAAGUAACGUCCCUUCGACACAAUCUGACGCCAAAACGGCGAACCGGGCCCACCGUCAACCCCAACGGCGCCUAUAAGUCCGAAACAGCCCAAACGACCCUGUAAAAAUCCACUCUGUGUACCAGCACGAGCGUAAAUGUAUUCUAAACUACCUGGAGUACUCGUCUCGAGGAUACUACGACAGUACAAUUUAUAACGGCUCCUAGAGCUAAAUCAGGCAGUGUAACUGAUACAGGUCCAACUCGCCGGUUUUCUCCUAGUUCAAAUUCCAAGUCCAACAUGUAUAACCUACUCAAUUUAUUGCCACAUGCUCCAAAUUCAGAUAUGCAAUCUAUAAUAU